AGCCCUGUAGUGAUUAACACAUCAAAUUGCAAAUUUGAAAAAGAACCCAUUUGGUUCCGGGGCUU
rnacentral:tRNA from 1 species